rnacentral:lncRNA from 1 species
GGUGGGUACCGGUCGCUGGAUACCUGCUCUCCCUUUGGGGCUUCUCCCGUUAUCUACCUCUUCCCCCAGGGGAAGAAGCUCCCUGCCAAUAUCAGUGAGGAUGCAGAAGAAGGUGAAGUGUCUGAUGAGGACAGUGCCGAUGAGAUUGAGGAUGAUUGCAAGCUCCUCAACGGAGACGUGAGUGGGAGCCAGAGGCUCUGCCUGGGGGUUGUAGGGAAUCCCCAGAGUUGGCCCCAAACCCCC